AUCUAGCUGACGAGUCCCAAAUAGGACGAAAUGCACGUCAUGGAU
rfam:Schistosoma mattheei strain Denwood, Zambia genome assembly, scaffold: SMTD_scaffold0005646